rnacentral:misc_RNA from 1 species
CCGUGCUCGGCGGAGCUCCCGUGCCUGCAUCUUGCUGACCCGUCGCGUGCUGCUUAUUCGGAACCAUUUGGUCCCGGUGCAGCAGUGACGGGCAUGUGAGCGCGGGCCCGGUUGCGGCCGUGUCGGCAUAUGAGUGGUUUUGGAUCCGAAUGUCCUGGCGGGCUCCCUGCCUCUGUGCAGCCAACCGUCGGUGACGCGGGUCCGUUCAUUAUCGUUGCUCCGAGGACCGUUCGAGGCUCGGUGCGCUGCCAAGUUGCCUGUGCGUAAAACUCUGUUUGAAGGGAACGACAUCUCGACCAUGUGCUCGACUCGCCCCAUCCUGCCUCCGGGCACGGAGGGGCGGCACUACAUGCAGUCCUCAAGUAUUCCUCGGGUCGCGGAUGGUCUGUUCGGCUGUCCGCACUCGGUGGGUGCUCGAGGGCUUGCGAGGACUUGCGGAUGCAGUGUAUGCGGAGAUCCCAUGGGCUUCGGCCCUCGGCCUCCUCUCGGUUGCGAUCCGGCGCAAGCCGGUCCCGUUCGAAUGACUCUCGAGCCGUCGUAACCUCUCACCUCCCCUCCCGGGGAGCGUGCAUGGCAUGACGGCCGAUGUCAUCGAGGGCGUGC